rnacentral:lncRNA from 1 species
AUGCAUCUUGGCGGAGCUAGAAAGGUGCACUUUCCAUUUUGCCAAUCUCCGAGUGAAUUGCUCUGGUAUCAGGCAGGAGGAAGCUGGGGAGAGAUGGUUAAUGUGCUGCUAUGGCCAUCAAGCCAGGGGCUUGUACCCUGUGCGUCCUACUCCACUGCUGGUUUGUGCCCCUCUGCUUCCCAGCUCAUCACCUUGCAGCAUUGGCCAUGGCCCUCAGCUGAUCUCCAAGAGCAAGGAUGUUGUCUUGGUGUGAUCUGAAGACACUCUGGAGCUGGAAACACACCAGGAGAAGUUUCUGUUCAUCAUCUUUUUUGCUGUUAAUAACGUAACUCUAAAUCCAUCUCGGGAAAUCCUUUUUAAUACAGCUGUAGAGACAGGGAAGAGUUAAUUGCGUUCCUCUGCUCUGCUCUGUGUACAUUAUAGGCCAUGAGAGAAAGGGUUUGAAGCCUUUUAGCUGGGAUUUCAAAGCCAGAGAGUAGAACAGCACGUUUAUAGCUGGUUAAUAUAUCUCAGUUCUCAUCAGCAUUUAGUAACCCCCUACCCUGUCUUUACUGCUUUGUUGUUGUUUAUUUUAUUUUAUUUUUUUAAUGCAAACUUAUCUAACAGUAUGUAUUUCAUUAAAAAACAAAACAAAACAAUACACAUCAGAGCUUGCAUCCUAACACCUUUUAGCAGGAAAGGAAUGAUGUCAAGAAACAGAUUAAGAAAAAGGAACCAGAAAGGAUUUUUGGAAGAGGAAGACUGGAACCUCCUCUUCAGCUCCUAAAUUGCAGAUUUGGUGUUUGAGUUUGUGUCGACUUACAGGGAGAAACGGGUGGGUAAGAGAGAACUGAGAAUUUACUGACUUCAGACAUGAAGAUCUCCGUAAGACAAAUGCUUGUCACCCUCAUACAUCUUCCCAAUCAGUUGGGAAACAAGACUUAAUCAGUUGAGACGGUCUGAGCAAAUAGGGUUAUCUUGCAGCUCUCUCUAAGAGUGGCCAGAUUAAUACUUAAUUCUGUCGAACAAGAAGUGAAGCCUGGAGAAGGCAGCCUGCCUCGGAGAAGGGUUGCCGUCAGCGCCACAAAGGGGACGAUGAAACGCGAGUGGUCAGGUUCACUUUUGUUUAAAAUCAAUUUCAUUUGCUCUAUCACAACCUGGUUGUGUUUGUAUUUUCAGUAAUGGCUGGGAAUAAUUAAUUCUCCUUCAUUUAACAGAUUCCUUGCUCUCUCAUCACUUGAAAGAAACCCCCAAAUUAUGUUAAAAAAUGACUUUCACAACAAAUUAACUAGAGAUUUAAAACCAGUUGUCGGUGUCCCUUUAAGUCAAAUCCUCUUUCUGCUUAUAGCACAGAUGCAUGAAAGAGGAGGAUGCUGUUCCUGAGCAAGCGUGGAGGAAGAUUGAGUUGUGCGUGGGAGGACAGAACAGGAGAACACUCCAGUUACUUGGGCCACUCCUCCAGCAAAUUUAAUAAGUAUUGUUAGAAAGUACUUUGCAAGGAAAAAUAAAGUUAAUCUCCUAAGCGUAGUUGAAUGAUGG